rnacentral:sRNA from 1 species
GUCAUUUGUUUGAAGAUCAGAGGGUGCUAAAGUGAUCACUGCGGCAAUGUCUUUUAAUAUAGUCGAUCAGUUUUCUUAAAGGAGUUGGUAGAUGUAGAUAGAGCUCUUUGAACUAUGGAAGCGAUUUUAGGUUCUUUCGAGGGGUUCUGGAAUUGAGGGAUGAUUCUGACACUCUCAAUAACUUCCAAUCUCAAGUAGAGCUGAGUGAUUAUGUCGUGGAGAGUAGCAAGAGGUCCUUAGUCGGAUGGUCAUGUAUUAACCAUAAAUGUUUGAUGGACUAACUUUGGUAUUUGGUAGUUUGAUGAAGUGGUAGUAUGAUAUGGAAGAGUUGUUUCACCACACACGAGGCAGGUCCUCCAUGAGUCCGACAUCAAUACACGUAUCCGGAUGGUCGAGUCUAGAAAUGAUAUGAUUAUUCAUGUAUUGCUUGAUUUAUAUUAUCAAAUGUA